rnacentral:tRNA from 1 species
GCCCUAAUAGUAUAAACAUUACACUGGUCUUGUAAACCAGAAAUGAAAACCUAAUUUUCUUAGGGCA